rnacentral:rRNA from 1 species
GUUUCAGCCGCCGCGGUAAUACGUAGGGUGCGAGCGUUAUCCGGAAUUAUUGGGCGUAAAGAGCUCGUAGGCGGUUUGUCGCGUCUGUCGUGAAAGUCCGGGGCUUAACCCCGGAUCUGCGGUGGGUACGGGCAGACUAGAGUGCAGUAGGGGAGACUGGAAUUCCUGGUGUAGCGGUGGAAUGCGCAGAUAUCAGGAGGAACACCGAUGGCGAAGGCAGGUCUCUGGGCUGUAACUGACGCUGAGGAGCGAAAGCAUGGGGAGCGAACAGGAUUAGAUACCCUGGUAGUCCAUGCCGUAAACGUUGGGCACUAGGUGUGGGGACCAUUCCACGGUUUCCGCGCCGCAGCUAACGCAUUAAGUGCCCCGCCUGGGGAGUACGGCCGCAAGGCUAAAACUCAAAGGAAUUGACGGGGGCCCGCACAAGCGGCGGAGCAUGCGGAUUAAUUCGAUGCAACGCGAAGAACCUUACCAAGGCUUGACAUGUUCUCGAUCGCCGUAGAGAUACGGUUUCCCCUUUGGGGCGGGUUCACAGGUGGUGCAUGGUUGUCGUCAGCUCGUGUCGUGAGAUGUUGGGUUAAGUCCCGCAACGAGCGCAACCCUCGUUCCAUGUUGCCAGCACGUCGUGGUGGGGACUCAUGGGAGACUGCCGGGGUCAACUCGGAGGAAGGUGAGGACGACGUCAAAUCAUCAUGCCCCUUAUGUCUUGGGCUUCACGCAUGCUACAAUGGCCGGUACAAUGGGUUGCGAUACUGUGAGGUGGAGCUAAUCCCAAAAAGCCGGUCUCAGUUCGGAUUGGGGUCUGCAACUCGACCCCAUGAAGUCGGAGUCGCUAGUAAUCGCAGAUCAGCAACGCUGCGGUGAAUACGUUCCCGGGCCUUGUACACACCGCCCGUCAAAC